UCUCAGUUCGGAUUGUAGGCUGCAACUCGCCUACAUGAAGUCGGAAUCGCUAGUAAUCGCGGAUNAGAAUGCCGCGGUGAAUACGUUCCCGGGCCUUGUACACACCGCCCGUCACACCAUGAGAGUCGGGAACACCCGAAGUCCGUAGUCUAACCGCAAGGGGACGCGGCCGAAGGUGGGUUCGAUAAUUGGGGUGAAGUCGUAACAAGGUAUC
rnacentral:rRNA from 1 species